CACUCUCAAAUAUACCAUAUCCACAUUGAUUGUCUACUGAAACAGAAGUUGGCGUUUUGUGUGAAGUAUACCACCUUCUACAAACAAUGCUCGAUUGUCAUGCUUAAUAGGGAUGAACUUGUGUACAACAUGAUCAAUGAAUAUAUGAACCCAAAUGAGCACACUUCAAAGGUGGCUCUCUUGGAAGCUCCUUCUACAAAUCCAACAUCUCAAAACAAGCAUAAUUUGGUGAAGCAUUAUCUCACCCUGAGUGGAGGCAAGCAAUGAUUGAUGAAAUGUGUGCUAUUCAAAGCAGUUGUACCUGGGAACUGGUUCCUCUACCCCCUGGGAAAUCUUUAGUAGGUUGUCGUUGGCUUUAUACAGUGAAGGUUGGUCCAAAUGGUAAGAUUGAUCGAUUUAAAGCUCGCUUGGUAGCCAAAGGAUACCCUCUGAUUUUUGGAUUGGAUUAUAGUGAUACCUUCUCGUUUGUAGCCAAGAUGGCAUCUGUUAGACUUCUUUUAGCCAUUUCAGCUAUUCGAUAUUGGCCUUUUCAUCAACUUGACAUCAAAAAUGAUUUUUUACAUGGUGAUCUUGAAGAGGAAAUAUAUAUGGAGCAACCACCUGGAUUUGUUACUCAGGGGGAGUCAUUGAAUAUGGUGUGUAGGUUACACAGGUCUCUUUAUGGUCUUAAGCAAUCUCCGAGAGCUUGGUUCGGCAAAUUCAGCGUUGUAGUAUAACAGUUUGGUAUGGUCCAUAGUGAAGCUGACCAUUCUAUUUUUUAUCAUCAC